CCCUUAGACGUUCUGGGCCGCACGCGCGCUACACUGACAAAGGCAACGAGCUACUCUUCACCGAAAGGUGUGGGUAAUCUUUUGAAACUUUGUCGUGCUGGGGAUAGAUCCUUGCAAUUUUUGAUCUUAAACGAGGAAUUCCCAGUAAGCGCAAGUCAUCAACUUGCGUUGAUUACGUCCCUGCCCUUUGUACACACCGCCCGUCGCUACUACCGAUUGAAUGGUUUAGUGAGGCCUUCGGAUCCGCGACUCGUUUGUGGAGAAGUUGGACAAACUCAGUCAUUUAGAGGAAGUAAAAGUCGUAACA
rnacentral:rRNA from 1 species